rnacentral:tRNA from 4 species
GCGGCGCUGGCGAAAUUGGCAGACGCGCAAGACUUAGGAUCUUGUCCCGCAAGGGUUGGGGGUUCAAGUCCCUCGCGCCGCA